rnacentral:rRNA from 1 species
GAUGAACGCUGGCGGCGUGCCUAAUACAUGCAAGUCGAGCGAAGCGGGGACGGGUGAGUAACACGUGGGUAACCUCCUAUAAGACGGGGAAAACUUCGGGAAACCGGAGCUAAACCGGUUACUUAUAGAUGGAUCCUCGCUGCAGUAGCUAGUUGUUAAGGUAACGGCUUACCAAGGCAACGAUGCAUAACAGACCUGAGAGGGUGAGCGGCCACACUGGAACUGAGACACGGUCCAGACUCCUACGGGAGUCAGCAGUAGGGAAUCUUCCGCAAUGGGCGAAAGCCUGACGGAGCCACGCCGCGUGAGUGAUGAAGGUCGUCGGAUCGUAAAACUCUGUUAUUAGGGAAGCGGUACCUAAUCAGAAAGCCACGGCUAACUCCGUGCCAGCAGCCGCGGUAAUAC